GUGAUAGCUCAGCUGGUAGAGCAUGAGACUCUUAAUCUCAGGGUGGUGGGUUUGAGCCCCACGUUGGGCA
rnacentral:tRNA from 1 species